GCGUGUUUCUCAGGCACGUCAUCUUAGAAUUCAUUUAAUAGCACGUUUCUUCAAGAAGGAUCAAUCGAUUAGAUACUCUUCGUACAUUUUUGGAUAAUUUUAAAGAAAUUACAUUCGAAAUGUUAAUGCAAUGUACAAAAGUUAUUGAAGAAAAAAUGGAGGCUUAAUUAUGGCGGAUGGAAUUAAAUAACAUUAAUGUUGAUAAUACUAUAAUAAUAACGAUGAUAGACGAUAGACGACAUUCGAGAAUGACAACAUGUUACGUAAUUCUACGAUAUUUUUAUUCCCUUGAUCAGAGAACACCGGAGAGGGCAGGCGUACAAAGAAUUUGUUCGUUGCUCAGGAUUGCAUGCUUACUCACGGAAUUAACGAUAAUUUUCGUUGACUCAAACGACGACAACGACCCUUCCCAUCCGGUGAAUAUCCUAAUUUGCACCGUUUUCUAGACAGUCUUUUGGACGGAUUCUCCGUGGAUGAUCCCCAGUUACCAUGCUUCGUUGGAUUUUCCUUCUUAUCCUCAAACAGCGUCCACUGGUAGAAGAAUUUCCGCGUUUUUCAUGGUAGAAUUUGUAUCUGUCUCGCUGAUCGAAGGAAAUGUCGAAUUUUGAGAGGAAGAAUCGGGUGUUUCAGAGACAUUGAUUUGUUCUGAUGGAACUGUUUCGGUGGUAGUUGUAGUACUGGUGGUGGUGGGCUUGACGAUCGGUUUCAACGUAAAGUCGGCGUAAUCGUAGAAAUAAUCGUAUUCCUGUAAUUCAAGAUCGUGUUAAUUUACUUAACACUACUUUCUUCAUGUCCUAAAAACGCGAAAAUUUACUUAAAUAUUUUUUACGACUCCCUUAUCCUUUACUCCUCCACUCUUUACUUUAAAUCAAUGUUACCACGUACUACCGUAAAUCUCUUAAGUCUAGAUGCAACAUAUUUAUCACGCCGUCAGUAAAGAUAAAAAUCAACGAUAAUAAUAGUUCUUGUUAUCGCGUCAUCUGACCGUACCGCUUAUCGAGGUACAUUAACAUCCCAGCGGGAACAUCGCGACCGAUAGUCAUCGUUUUACCGUGUAAUCGUCAAGCAUCUCCGGGUCCAACAACGCCACCACUUGCACAUCCUUCAGGUGGACUUGCACGUUUAGAUCACCGGUUUGUCGUUGAUCAUAGGUCGCCGUCGGUAAGGACAGACCAGUCACAACGUGAUAAGCGA